UACGUAGGGGGCAAGCGUUUGUCCGGAUUUAUUGGGCGUAAAGAGCGUGUAGGCGGCCAAACAGGUCAGCUGUGAAAACUCGAGGCUUAACCUCGAGCUGUCGGCGGAAACCAUCUGGCUAGAGUCCGGAAGAGGAGAAUGGAAUUCCCGGUGUAGCGGUGAAAUGCGCAGAUAUCGGGAAGAACACCCGUGGCGAAGGCGGUUCUCUGGGACGGUACUGACGCUGAGACGCGAAAGCGUGGGGAGCGAACAGG
rnacentral:rRNA from 1 species